rnacentral:rRNA from 1 species
CGCGGCCUUUCAGCUUGUUGGUGAGGUAAUGGCUCACCAAGGCGACGACGGGUAGCCGGCCUGAGAGGGCGACCGGCCACACUGGGACUGAGACACGGCCCAGACUCCUACGGGAGGCAGCAGUGGGGAAUAUUGCACAAUGGGCGAAAGCCUGAUGCAGCGACGCCGCGUGAGGGAUGACGGCCUUCGGGUUGUAAACCUCUUUCAGCAGGGAAGAAGCGCAAGUGACGGUACCUGCAGAAGAAGCGCCGGCUAACUACGUGCCAGCAGCCGCGGUAAUACGUAGGGCGCAAGCGUUGUCCGGAAUUAUUGGGCGUAAAGAGCUCGUAGGCGGCUUGUCACGUCGGGUGUGAAAGCCCGGGGCUUAACCCCGGGUCUGCAUUCGAUACGGGCUAGCUAGAGUGUGGUAGGGGAGAUCGGAAUUCCUGGUGUAGCGGUGAAAUGCGCAGAUAUCAGGAGGAACACCGGUGGCGAAGGCGGAUCUCUGGGCCAUUACUGACGCUGAGGAGCGAAAGCGUGGGGAGCGAACAGGAUUAGAUACCCUGGUAGUCCACGCCGUAAACGGUGGGAACUAGGUGUUGGCGACAUUCCACGUCGUCGGUGCCGCAGCUAACGCAUUAAGUUCCCCGCUGGGG